AUAUUUUUUGGUUCAUAAGCAUGAUCUAGUAUUCAUUCCUUUGUGUGAUAUGCACCGCCCAUUAAACCUUGUUAUGACAUGGGCACAUUACCCAUCUGAUA